AGGAAGACGCAAGAAACGUCGCCCUCACUCCAAGCAGCAGAUCCGAGAGUUGGAGAACGAAUUCCGGCUCAACGUUUACGUCAACAAGCAGAGACGCAUGCAGCUGUCUCGUCUCCUGCACCUCACUGACCGGCAGGUGAAGAUCUGGUUCCAGAACAGAAGGACGAAGGCGAAGAAUCUCAUGAAGGCGCGAGUGCGCCGCACGGUCUCGCCAGUCAGAUGCUGAGGUCACCAUUUUGGAGUGACAUCUUUAAAGCGUUGUCAUGACGUCGCUGCAGCAUCACAGCAGGAACUUUUGGUCAAAAACAGACGAAUGAGCAAAUGCUCCACACACAGAAGUGGUCCGAAACGCACACACCGAGUAAUACAACUGAAAAAUUCUGCAAUCACAUGCAUGCAGGGAAAAAACAACUGCAUGAGAGAAAUACUGCAAGUUCACAAAACAAAAUGAAGCCAUAGGCUGAUUUUUUUCUUUUCUUUUCUUUGAGUCUUUGUUAAAAACUGGCUGUAUAAAUGACAUGGUUGCUUUAAAAUACUGUAAAAUAUUACAAAACCAGUGAA